ACUCAAAUGAAUUGACGGGGAGGCGCACAAGCAGUGGAGCGUGUGGUUUAAUUCGAUACAAAGCGAAAAACCUCACCAGGACUUGACAUUGACCUGCAAGCGCACGGAAACGUGUGACCUUCGAGGGUGGUCAACAGAUGCUGCAUGGCUGUCGUCAGCUCGUGGCGUGAGCUGUACCGUUAAGUCGGGUAACGAGCGCAACCCGCAUUGUAUGUUAAAUAAUUCAUACAAAACAGCCCGGCUAUGCCGGGAGGAAGGCGCGGAUGACGUCAAGUCAGCACGGCUCUUACGUCCUGGGCAACACACACCCUACAAUGGCGAAUAACAACGAGUUGCAAGCUGGUAACAGCAAGCUAAUCUCUAAAAUUUCGCCUCAGUUCAGAUUGAGGUCUGCAACCCGACCUCAUGAAGGAGGAAUUGCUAGUAAUCGCGGAUCAGCAGGCCGCGGUGAAUACGUUCUCGCCUCUUGUACACACCGCCCGU
rnacentral:rRNA from 1 species